rnacentral:rRNA from 1 species
CGGUAGAGAGAAGCUUGCUUCUCUUGAGAGCGGCGGACGGGUGAGUAAUGCCUAGGAAUCUGCCUGGUAGUGGGGGAUAACGUUCGGAAACGGACGCUAAUACCGCAUACGUCUACGGGAGAAAGCAGGGGACUUCGGGCCUUGCGCUAUCAGAUGAGCCUAGGUCGGAUUAGCUAGUUGGUGAGGUAAUGGCUCACCAAGGCGACGAUCCGUAACUGGUCUGAGAGGAUGAUCAGUCACACUGGAACUGAGACACGGUCCAGACUC